rnacentral:tRNA from 1 species
UAUACUUUAAUAUAAGAUGUAUAUUAAUUUUUGAUAUUAAAGGAAAUAGUUUAAUUCUAUUAAGUAUAA